AACUGCAUAUUGUUUGAUCUCAUUAGACUACAGCUAAAACAAAAGAGAUUAAAAUAUUUAAUAUAAUGGAUUUGAAAAUUACUUUAAAAU